AGUGAACGCUGGCGGUAGGCCUAACACAUGCAAGUCGAACGGCAGCACAGAGGAGCUUGCUCCUUGGGUGGCGAGUGGCGGACGGGUGAGGAAUACAUCGGAAUCUACUCUGUCGUGGGGGAUAACGUAGGGAAACUUACGCUAAUACCGCAUACGACCUACGGGUGAAAGCAGGGGAUCUUCGGACCUUGCGCGAUUGAAUGAGCCGAUGUCGGAUUAGCUAGUUGGCGGGGUAAAGGCCCACCAAGGCGAAGAUCCGUAGCUGGUCUGAGAGGAUGAUCAGCCACACUGGAACUGAGACACGGGCCAGACUCCUACGGGAGGCAGCAGUGGGGAAUAUUGGACAAUGGGCGCAAGCCUAAUCCAGCCAUACCGCGUGGGUGAAGAAGGCCUUCGGGUUGUAGAGCCCUUUUGUUGGGAAAGAAAUCCAGCUGGCUAAUACCCGGUUGGGAUGGCGGUACCCAAAGAAUAAGCACCGGCUAACUUCGUGCCAGCAGCCGCCGCGG
rnacentral:rRNA from 1 species